CAAAAACAUGUCUCUUUGUAAAAUAUAAAUAGAGAGUCGGGCCUGCUCGGUGAAUAAGUUUUUAACAGCUGCGGUAUUUUAACUGUACUAAGGUAGCAUAAUAAUUUGCCUUAUAAUUUGAGGCUAGAAUGAAUGGUUUGACGAAGGUUAAUCUGUCUCCAUCUUAUUUUUUAGAAGUUAAUUUUUAAAGUGAAAAAGCUUAAAUCUUUCAAAGGGACGAGAAGACCCUAAUGAGCUUAUAAUUUUAUUAUCAUUAUUUAAAACAUUUAGGUGGUGGUAUAUAAAUUUUAAUUGGGGUGAUUAAGGAAUAAAUUGUGUAUAGUAACUUCCUUAAAUUAGGUAUUUAUAGAUAAAGUAACCAAUGUAAUAUUGCUUAUAGUAUAGUUACCAUAGGGAUAACAGCGUAAUUUGUUUAGAGAGUUCUUAUUGAAAAACGAGAUUGCGACCUCGAUGUUGGAUUAAAGUAACCCUAAGGUGCAGAAGCUUUAGUAGGUAAAUCUGUUCGA
rnacentral:rRNA from 1 species